rnacentral:rRNA from 1 species
UACAGAGGGGGCAAGCGUUAUUCGGAAUUAUUGGGCGUAAAGGGCGCGUAGGCGGCCUGGCAAGUGGAAGGUGAAAUCCCUCGGCUUAACCGAGGAACUGCCCUCCAAACUGCUUGGCUUGAGUCCGGGAGAGGUGAGUGGAAUUCCCAGUGUAGCGGUGAAAUGCGUAGAUAUUGGGAGGAACACCAGUGGCGAAGGCGGCUCACUGGACCGGAACUGGACGCUGAGGCGCGAAAAGCGUGGGGAGCAAACGGG